AUACGGAAGGUCCGGGCGUUAUCCGGAUUUAUUGGGUUUAAAGGGAGCGCAGGCGGGUUAUUAAGCGUGACGUGAAAUGUAGCCGCUCAACGGCUGAACUGCGUCGCGAACUGGUAGUCUUGAGUGAGUACGACGCGGACGGAAUUCGUGGUGUAGCGGUGAAAUGCUUAGAUAUCACGAAGAACUCCGAUUGCGAAGGCAGUCCGCGAGUCCUUUACUGACGCUAAAGCUCGAAGGUGCGGGUAUCGAACAGGAUUAGAUACCCUGGUAGUCCGCACGGUAAACGAUGGAUGCCCGCUGUUGGCGAUACACAGUCAGCGGCCAAGCGAAAGCGUUAAGCAUCCCACCUGGGGAGUACGCCGGCAACGGUGAAACUCAAAGGAAUUGACGGGG
rnacentral:rRNA from 1 species